AUCGCUUAGGGAGGCAGCAGUGGGGAAUAUUGGGCAAUGGGCGCAAGCCUGACCCAGCAACGCCGCGUGAAGGAAGAAGGCUUUCGGGUUGUAAACUUCUUUUAUGAGGGACGAAACAAAUGACGGUACCUCAUGAAUAAGCCACGGCUAACUACGUGCCAGCAGCCGCGGUAAUACGUAGGUGGCAAGCGUUAUCCGGAUUUACUGGGUGUAAAGGGCGUGUAGGCGGGACUGCAAG
rnacentral:rRNA from 1 species